rnacentral:tRNA from 1 species
CUGGGGUUAGCUCAGUGGUAGAGUGCUUGCCUGGAAAGUAUGAGACACUGAGUUCCAUCCUCAACAUUACA